rnacentral:rRNA from 1 species
CUCCAGACUCCUACGGGAGGCAGCAGUGGGGGAUAUUGGACAAUGGGGGGAACCCUGAUCCAGCGACGCCGCGUGAGUGAAGAAGUCUCUCGGUAUGUAAAGCUCUAUCAGCAGGGAAGAAAGAAAUGACGGUACCUGAGUAAGAAGCCCCGGCUAACUACGUGCCAGCAGCCGCGGUAAUACGUAGGGGGCAAGCGUUAUCCGGAAUUACUGGGUGUAAAGGGAGCGUAGACGGUGAAGUAAGUCUGGAGUGAAAGGCGGGGGCCCAACCCCCGGACUGCUCUGGAAACUAUUUGACUGGAGUGCAGGAGGGGUAAGCGGAAUUCCUAGUGUAGCGGUGAAAUGCGUAGAUAUUAGGAGGAACACCAGUGGCGAAGGCGGCUUACUGGACUGUAACUGACGUUGAGGCUCGAAAGCGUGGGGAGCAAACAGGAUUAGAUACCCGAGUA